GCUUAUACAAUCACCUUACAAUCUCCAGCUGUUUAGAAGCACCCACUGCCUGAAGAAGAUGGUGUUUUCUGGUCAUCACUUGAUCCUAAGUGUUGGCUAUUACACCCCAGGACAGUCAAACUCAACUAUUUCAAUGGGGUGCCAAAUUGCCGAUGCAUAUAGCUACAUGCAAUAAAACUCUUUCUGAUGUAUGGUGGAGUUCUUGAGACGAUGACUGUUGAAGCCCUCCGCGUCUCUCUAGAAACUAUGGCAUUGCUAAGUUCUGAAAAACAUUUAACAGGUGCUUUCAGUAUGUCAGUGCUGUUAUUAUAGUAAUAGGGAUCAUUUGUAAGUAUCCUUCUGUGUUCUUGCUGAAGUAUAAUGAAUAUUCAUUGCCUGGACCAGAACAUUGACGUAAAUCCUAGUACCAUGAAAAAUAGUGUAUGGCUCGAAGUGUUUUAUCUGAACAUUGGUUUAGAGAAUUCUUCAGUUUCUAUGUCAAUAUUU